UGUUUGUCGUCUGCGUCUUCACGAUGCGAACACAAUACGAACAUUGACACAUAGUCACACAAACACAUCCCUAGCAACUUUCUGUUUAAAUGUACAAGUAUUGUUUUAACUUUCCUUAAAAUUAGAAGUGUAAUUGCGUCAAGUGAGAUUUGAACUGUAAUAAUUAUGGAUAAUUUAAUUGGUUCCUUGGAACUGUCACUCAAUGUGUCAAACGAAUUGCACAGCACCAUCAGUCCGCACCCUAGGUUUUCACAAUUCAAAAAAACUUCGAAGACAAGCCAAGAAGUUCGCAGGAGAAGAACUUUGGAAAAUCAAAAACAGAGCCGCUAUGAUUACUACAAUCAUUGUAGAUGUUUGGCAGAGAGUGAUUUCAGUGUUGGCGAUGGAAAUCUUUCAGAUAGCCCUGAUGAAAUGGAGUGGUCUCCUCCCAAGAUAAAAACUCCAAGAGCAUAUCAGGAUCAAAUAAUGCUUUCAGAAUGGCUUGAUGAAGUACCAGUCGAUUUUGAAACUAAUUGGCUUAUUAUGCCUUGUCCUGUUGGAAAAAGAUGUCUAGUUGUUGCUUCAAGAGGAUGGACAAAGGUUUACUCAAAAAGUGGAUUUCUAAUAACAGAAUUCCAAUCCCAAUUGCCUGGAGGAUUUCAUAAAAGUUCAGACAGUACCAUUCUUGAUUGUCUUUGGAAUGACCACAAACAAUGCUAUUUUGUUUUGGAUGUUUUGAGCUGGAGUAGAGUACCAUUACUUGGAUGUGAAGCUGAAUUCAGGUUUUACUGGGUGAAUGGUAAAUUCAACGAACACCCUGAAUUAGGAAUGAAAUCGAAAAAAAAUCGGUAUCCUUUCAUUCCAUUGCCCAUCUUACCUUGCAUCAAAGAAAAUAUCGAAGCUUUACUUGAGGAUGAAAAACAAAGUUGGCAACCUUUGGACGGUCUCCUAUUUUAUCACAAAUUGGGAUUUUAUACUCCGGGAGUCAGCCCUUUAGUUGGAUGGCUCAAACCAUUCAUGAUUGCGGAGAUUUUGAAAGCAAAAGUACCGGAGUUCUACAUGCAGAAGAAACCCGUAAGCUAUGUGAAUAUCCAGCAACAUUUAAAGAAAAAAUCUCCAAAAUGCGAGGAAAAUUCUGUUGAGAUGUCAGCAACAGAUUAAUACUGUGUGAUAAUAUUUGAGCACUUCAUCUUGUUUUAAAUUGUUGACAAAAGUCGGUGCGGGUGAUGCUCAUAUCCUGAUUUGAUUCGACUUGUAGGAUUUCAGAUUCUUCUAAGUAUACAUUUUGCCAUUUUUUAAAGUUCCAGUGUUUCAAAAAAUUUUGGGAAGUAUUUUGACCGUUGAUCUGUUUAGUGUUUACCAUCCAUUUUCAAUGACAUAUUAUCCUUCGCCAUGCUUAAAUCAAUUAGCUACAUUCUAGACUGUUAUGCUAUUAGUGAAAACCACUAUUUAACGAAAAUAGAACGGCAUUCCCAUAGGCAUAAUUAAUUUUAAUAAGCCAAAGGUCUAGCGACGCUUAUGUUAUUGAAACGAAGACGUCGGAUGAUUGAAAUUUAAUUUACGUAUUCAAGUUUGUAUCAGAAAGGCAGAAAUUGGCCAGUGCAGUUUGAUAAAGCAUAGAAAGACUGAUUAGUAUGAAUGGAGUUAAAAACAGUUGAAAUGUAAUGUGGUGUCAGGCGAGCGUGUAAGCUGAGAGUGAGAGAAGCUUUACAGACAACCAAAGUCUUUACAAUGAAAUACAAGCAAAUUAAGGUAAAGUCAUCAAGUAUAAUAAAUGACAAAUUCCGUGAAAUAAUCAGUGAACUUUAGGAGUCUGAAUUAAUUUGAGCGAAAUUACCAAACGCUUUUGGAAGUUAUUCUCAGUUAUUCUUGUAUAUGUCAAUUAAGUAAACUAUAGAAGUUCAAUCUUUUUUUUCUGACAAACCACACGCACCAUAUAUACCCGGCUAUACACGUUUCAGUAGUGUAGCAACUGCAGACCUAAUUCUAAAUUUCAUUUCAUUACAGAAUGCUCUGUACAUGUUGAAAGAGGACUAUACGUACGUGUUGAAAAGAUAGCGCUAGGCCGCUAGCAUAUGGAAUGGUGAUGACGUUUGGGAAAAGAGCCAAAGUAGAGGAAUAGAGUAGUGGAAAGGGGGAGUUCUUAGUAGAGGUGUGGCUUCACACAAAAAUUGGUAGAUGCCCCUUUCAUUUUCUACAGUUAGGCUACCAGUCAGUCUCCGCUUACACCACGUUAGACAUCGUUUCCAAAUACUAGCUACAGUCUAUAGCAAAAGGUUAGAAUAUCAUAAUAUCUGUUCCUCUUCUUAGUCCAUGGUUAAUAUUGUAAUUCAUCUUAAUGCUUGAUUAAAAAUUUA
rnacentral:misc_RNA from 1 species